CGGCGCACGGGUGCGUAACGCGUAUAGAAUCUACCUUAUACUGGGGAAUAGCCUUUGGAAACNAAGAUUAAUGNCCCAUAGUAUCAUUUUUCGGCAUCGUUUAAUGAUUAAAGUUUCGGCGGUAUAAGAUGACUAUGCGUUCUAUUAGCUAGUUGGUAAGGUAACGGCUUACCAAGGCUACGAUAGAUAGGGGUCCUGAGAGGGAGAUCCCCCACACUGGUACUGAGACACGGACCAGACUCCUACGGGAGGCAGCAGUGAGGAAUAUUGGACAAUGGAGGCAACUCUGAUCCAGCCAUGCCGCGUGUAGGAAGACUGCCCUAUGGGUUGUAAACUACUUUUAUAUGGGAAGAAUAAGGUCUACGUGUAGACUGAUGACGGUACCAUAAGAAUAAGCACCGGCUAACUCCGUGCCAGCAGCCGCGGUAAUACGGAGGGUGCAAGCGUUAUCCGGAAUCAUUGGGUUUAAAGGGUCCGUAGGCGGGCUUGUAAGUCAGUGGUGAAAGUCUGUGGCUUAACCAUAGAAUUGCCAUUGAUACUGCAGGUCUUGAAUUAUUGUGAAGUGGUUAGAAUAUGUAGUGUAGCGGUGAAAUGCUUAGAGAUUACAUAGAAUACCGAUUGCGAAGGCAGAUCACUAACAAUAUAUUGACGCUGAUGGACGAAAGCGUAGGUAGCGAACAGGAUUAGAUACCCUGGUAGUCUACGCCGUAAACGAUGGAUACUAGUUGUUUGGCCUUCGGGCUGAGUGACUAAGCGAAAGUGAUAAGUAUCCCACCUGGGGAGUACGUUCGCAAGAAUGAAACUCAAAGGAAUUGACGGGGGCCCGCACNAGCGGUGGAGCAUGUGGUUUAAUUCGAUGAUACGCGAGGAACCUUACCAGGGCUUAAAUGUAGUCUGACAGCUUUAGAGAUAGAGUUUUCUUCGGACAGAUUACAAGGUGCUGCAUGGUUGUCGUCAGCUCGUGCCGUGAGGUGUCAGGUUAAGUCCUAUAACGAGCGCAACCCCUGUGGUUAGUUGCCAGCGAGUAAUGUCGGGAACUCUAGCCAGACUGCCGGUGCAAACCGUGAGGAAGGUGGGGAUGACGUCAAAUCAUCACGGCCCUUACGUCCUGGGCCACACACGUGCUACAAUGGUAGGGACAGAGAGCAGCCACUGCGCGAGCAGGAGCGAAUCUAUAAACCCUAUCUCAGUUCGGAUUGGAGUCUGCAACUCGACUCCAUGAAGCUGGAAUCGCUAGUAAUCGGAUAUCAGCCAUGAUCCGGUGAAUACGUUCCCGGGCCUUGUACACACCGCCCGUCAAGCCAUGGAAGCUGGGGGUACCUGAAGUCCGUUACCGCAAGGAGCG
rnacentral:rRNA from 1 species